rnacentral:sRNA from 1 species
ACCAGGUGUGGUGGCGCACACUUGUAAUCCCAGCAACUCAGGAGGCUGAGGCAGGAGGAUGGCGAAUUCAAAGCCAGUCUCAG